UGAGUAACACGUGGGCAAUCUGCCCUGCACUUCGGGAUAAGCCUGGGAAACUGGGUCUAAUACCGGAUAGGACCACUUGGCGCAUGCCUUGUGGUGGAAAGCUUUUGCGGUGUGGGAUGGGCCCGCGGCCUAUCAGCUAGUUGGUGGGGUGAUGGCCUACCAAGGCGACGACGGGUAGCCGGCCUGAGAGGGUGUCCGGCCACACUGGGACUGAGAUACGGCCCAGACUCCUACGGGAGGCAGCAGUGGGGAAUAUUGCACAAUGGGCGCAAGCCUGAUGCAGCGACGCCGCGUGGGGGAUGACGGCCUUCGGGUUGUAAACCUCUUUCAGCAGGGACGAAGCGCAAGUGACGGUACCUGCAGAAGAAGCACCGGCCAACUACGUGCCAGCAGCCGCGGUAAUACGUAGGGUGCGAGCGUUGUCCGGAAUUACUGGGCGUAAAGAGCUCGUAGGUGGUUUGUCGCGUUGUUCGUGAAAACCGGGGGCUUAACCCUCGGCGUGCGGGCGAUACGGGCAGACUAGAGUACUGCAGGGGAGACUGGAAUUCCUGGUGUAGCGGUGGAAUGCGCAGAUAUCAGGAGGAACACCGGUGGCGAAGGCGGGUCUCUGGGCAGUAACUGACGCUGAGGAGCGAAAGCGUGGGGAGCGAACAGGAUUAGAUACCCUGGUAGUCCACGCCGUAAACGGUGGGUACUAGGGUGUGGGUUUCCUUCCUUGGGAUCCGUGCCGUAGCUAACGCAUUAAGUACCCCGCCUGGGGGAGUACGGCCGCAAAGGCUAAAACUCAANGGAAUUUGACGGGGGGCCCGCACA
rnacentral:rRNA from 1 species